rnacentral:rRNA from 1 species
ACUCAAAGGAAUAGACGGGGGCCCGCACAAGCGGUGGAGCAUGUGGUUCAAUUCGACGCAACGCGAAGAACCUUACCUGGACUAGACAACAGUGGAUCGUCCUAGAAAUAGGAUUUUCCCUUCGGGGACCGCUGGUUCAGGUGCUGCAUGGCUGUCGUCAGCUCGUGCCGUGAGGUGUUGGGUUAAGUCCCGCAACGAGCGCAACCCUCGUACUUAGUUGCCACCAUUAAGUUGGGCACUCUAGGUAGACUGCCGGCGUUAAGCCGGAGGAAGGUGGGGACGACGUCAAGUCAUCAUGGCCCUUAUGUCCAGGGCCACACACGUGCUACAAUGGGCGGCACAAAGGGUCGCGAACCCGCGAGGGGGAGCCAAUCCCAAAAAGCCGCUCUCAGUUCGGAUUGGAGUCUGCAACUCGACUCCAUGAAGUUGGAAUCGCUAGUAAUCGCGGAUCAGCACGCCGCGGUGAAUACGUUCCCGGGCCUUGCACACACCGCCCGU